rnacentral:rRNA from 1 species
GAUGAACGCUGGCGGCGUGCCUAAUACAUGCAAGUCGAGCGAACAGAUAAGGAGCUUGCUCCUUUGACGUUAGCGGCGGACGGGUGAGUAACACGUGGGUAACCUACCUAUAAGACUGGGAUAACUUCGGGAAACCGGAGCUAAUACCGGAUAACAUUUGGAACCGCAUGGUUCUAAAGUGAAAGAUGGUUUUGCUAUCACUUAUAGAUGGACCCGCGCCGUAUUAGCUAGUUGGUAAGGUAACGGCUUACCAAGGCGACGAUACGUAGCCGACCUGAGAGGGUGAUCGGCCACCCUGGAACUGAGACACGGUCCAGACUCCUACGGGAGGCAGCAGUAGGGAAUCUUCCGCAAUGGACGAAAGCCUGACGGAGCAACGCCGCAUGAGUGAUGAAGGGGUUCGGCUCGUAAAACUCUGUUAUUAGGGAAGAACAAAUGUGUAAGUAACUGUGCACGUCUUGACGGUACCUAAUCAGAAAGCCACGGCUAACUACGUG